CCUAAUUGCAGAGGACGUUAACCUGUUUUUGCUGUUUUCUACUGUGAAUUGGUGUCGGUGGGUGUUUCUGCCCACUCUGCAAAGUGUGCCACCCAAAAAAGGUGAAGUUAACAUGAAAGCCAACCAAAAGCUGGACUAAUGAAAAGGUCAAAAAUAUUAUUAAGCAUUAAAAUUCUGAGAAGUCCCUGUUGUGCAGGAGAUUGUAACAAGAAGAGGAAACAGCACAGCAUGAGCGAUCUCUCAUGAUAAAGAUCUGGUGAGCAGAGAAGAGCGGAGGAAGUAGAGCACAUGUGAUAAUUCCUGUUACAGGACGUGGCGCUCCUCCUCCCCAUCAGUUACAGAAAGGCAUCUGAGGCUGAAGUUGUCUGAUCCCAAUAAAGCAUCCUCUUCUCCCCUGACCUGGAAGGAGUUGGUCCCACGUCUCUCUAGGAUCACUGUCUCUGUACUGUGCCUCGUGUGUAACUCAGACACCUGUUUUCUGAGACCUGGGAUGGAAUUACUAGCAGUGUCACAUUUUGGCACCAAACAGACACACCUGAUGAACAUGGGGAGGGUGACAGAGGUCCACCUAUGUCCGUCUGUACCGUAGCUGUAGUUCUCCAGUAACAUACAGAUGCCAAGUCUCAGAGGACGGAGUGAGAGAGUACAACCCAUGGGAGCAGCAUCCCUUCGGAUACCCUGCCUCAGGCUGGGCCUGGGCUCUGCUCUGCAGGGAGGAGCGUCGUGGCGUUGCUGUGAAAAUGCUGAUGUGCAGUGAGAAUCCCAGAGAGCAUCCUUGGCAGUGUGGACGCUCAUCCACUCCUUUCAAAACAGAAGCAAAGCUGCGUGGCUGGUGGGAACACAGGAGGUCCCAUGGGGUGACAGCAAGUGCAGGAUAUAAAGAGCCUUAGAAAGAAAACUCUCUCCUCUGCCUUCCUCUGCUUCACCGGCAAGAAAUGCUGUGUACCGAACAUGGAGGACACAUGGGAUGGAAGAGGUUUGACCUCCAAUCUAAGGUUCAGAGUAUGCCACCAGACAGAAGCAACACAUCUCAGACAAUAUUCAGAAAGGCAUUUUUGAAGAAAAUAUUUGCCAUUGGAAAUUACCAAAGGCAUAUUGUCCCCUGCUACUGACUACAGCAACUGGAAAUAUCAGACCAACUCUUUUUUUUUUUUUUUUUAAAUUUUUUUUCCCCUCUUCUCCCUGAAAAGUG